GGGAGGCAGCAGUGGGGAAUCUUGCGCAAUGGGCGAAAGCCUGACGCAGCGACGCCGCGUGAGGGAAGAAGGCCUUCGGGUUGUAAACCUCUUUCAGGAGGGACGAAGCCACUCGGGUUAAUAGCCCAGAGGGUGACGGUACCUCCAGAAGAAGCCCCGGCUAACUACGUGCCAGCAGCCGCGGUAAUACGUAGGGGGCAAGCGUUGUCCGGAUUUAUUGGGCGUAAAGAGCGUGUAGGCGGCCAAGCAGGUCCGCUGUGAAAACUCGAGGCUCAACCUCGAGAGGUCGGUGGAAACCGUUUGGCUAGAGUCCGGAAGAGGAGAGUGGAAUUCCCGGUGUAGCGGUGAAAUGCGCAGAUAUCGGGAAGAACACCCGUGGCGAAGGCGGCUCUCUGGGACGGUACUGACGCUGAGACGCGAAAGCGUGGGGAGCGAACAGGAUUAGAUACCCCGGUAC
rnacentral:rRNA from 1 species